AACGAACGCUGGCGGCAUGCCUAACACAUGCAAGUCGAACGAGACCUUCGGGUUUAGUGGCGCACGGGUGCGUACCGCGUGGGAACUUGCACUUAGGUUCGCAAUAACUCCCCGAAAGGGGUGCUCAUACCGGUUAAUGUCUUAGGACCAAAGAUUUAUCGCCUUUGGAUGGGCCCGGGUUAGUUUGGGUGGUUGGUAGGGUAAAAGCGUACCAAGGCGAUGUUGCAGAGCUGGUCGGUGAGCAGGAUCAGGCAGACUGGGACUGAGGCACGGCCCAGACUCCUAGGGGAGGGAGCAGUGGGGAGUAUUAGAGAAGGGGGGAAAGCCUAAUCCAGCAAUGCCGCGGAAGUGAUGAAGGCCGUAGGAUUGUAAAGCUCUUUUACCCGGGAUGAUAAUGACAGUACCGGGAGAAUAAGCACCGGCUAACUACGUG
rnacentral:rRNA from 1 species